rnacentral:rRNA from 1 species
UUACCAGGCCUUGACAUGCAGAGAACUUUCCAGAGAUGGAUUGGUGCCUUCGGGAACUCUGACACAGGUGCUGCAUGGCUGUCGUCAGCUCGUGUCGUGAGAUGUUGGUUAGUCCGUAACGAGCGCAACCCUUGUCCUUAGUUACCAGCACGUUAUGGUGGGCACUCUAAGGAGACUGCCGGUGACAAACCGGAGGAAGGUGGGGAGUGACGUCAAGUCAUCAUGGCCCUUACGGCCUGGGCUACACACGUGCUACAAUGGUCGGUACAAAGGGUUGCCAAGCCGCGAGGUGGAGCUAAUCCCAUAAAACCGAAUCGUAGUCCGGAUCGCAGUCUGCAACUCGACUGCGUGAAGUCGGAAUCGCUAGUAAUCGUGAAUCAGAAUGUCACGGUGAAUACGUUCCCGGGCCUU